UCUAAACAUUUAAAAGGUUUCAACUUCAAUCAAAUUGGACGUGGCCCUUACAAGACAAACGCGUCCAACAGACAGCCUUCUUCUUGUAUAAGUGGACUUGGUGACAGCCUUGCAAUUUGAGAAAGAUUCAUCACACAGACCCAAUGAUAUAUAUAUAUAUAUAUGUUUUCUACAAUGACAUAAAAUUGUGUCAAAGCACACAGCUAUUUUGAAAACAUCAUUUCAUUCAUUAUAUACAUAUGUUUCUCUCUCUCUCUCUCUCUCUCUCUCUAUAUAUAUAUAUAUAUAUAUAUGAACCAUUAUGCAUUUGCAGUGUACAGCAAAUGAACACAAGCCUGGGCACAAGUUUAGUGAGGAUUUCAAAUCAUGUCUGCUGAGUGGACACCAAUGAAAACAGGCAGUGGAUCUAUGAUAACACUGGCUGCAGUUUAGAAAGAGAGAUGGCAGAGAUCUGAAGGUCAAAAGCUUGCAAGUCAUGUCAUGAACAGAGAGAGCAACUGGAUUCGUAAACUGGGAGCGUAGUUUUCACAACAAUCAUUGCAGGAUUGGGGUGAUUGGGUUUCACAAUUGGCUAAGUCGCAGUUAGCAGUUGCAGUGUCCCUGUCAAGCGCUGGAUAGUCCUCAACCUUGGAGAUCCUGCCCUUGCAAAACCAUCACACUAUGCCUAUGGAUAUUAAUGAUAAGUUGUCGAUGUUCACUGCUGCCAGUGAUUUAAAUCAUGAAAGACCUCUUCCUGCAUUUUUUUUGUUUUUUGUUUUGUGUUUGAUGCACUUUACUUUACCUGCAGUGAAACCAACCAGCGCCCAUGUGCACAUGUUGAUGAACACGAACUGGAAUUUGACAGAUCAAGGAUGGCCGUGAUCUUGGCUCCUCUUCCAGUUAUGGUGAGACAAAAAAAUGUCGGUUCGUUUUCAGGACAAGCCCGAGAGGAUGGACGGGACGUCGACAAUGGAGAGAGAGAGAUCCAGUUGUCAUGCAUUCCGACAUGAGCAUGCAAAAGUCAAGUGAGGAAUUUGUUUUAAGAGAAGCUCAAUCAUAGGGAGCGUGAUCCAGUAAGGAAGGUUUAAAAUGAUUGCAGUUGCCAUGCAAACCCACCUUGAAAAUCCGCCCACAGUGCCUAUGUAAACUGGCGAUUGAAAACUGAAAGGAUACAGACAAGAAACCUCCACAAUUAGCCAGGCAGUGAUCGAAUAUCCACGAGCUAAUUGAGUUCAGCUAGCAGAAAAUAUUAGCGAAUAGAAUCCAAAAUAUGCAUCAGCUAUGCUCUGGAUACAUUCCUCACCCAAGGAAUUAAUGAUGAAUAGAUGAAGUGAUAAAAUAUUCCCCGUUCGGAUUAACUCCCUACACAAAUCCGUCUGGUUAUAAAAACUAAGCAUUAAGGGAAAGGCAUAAGGUAUGCAGAUAAGCAAAUGUAAUGUGACAUUGCAAUAAUCACGAUAGUGCGUGAUUUGACGCCUGGAAAUGGACUAGCUGACAAUUCAAAGAUUUGCUACCCUAUUGAAAACAACACGACGAG
rnacentral:lncRNA from 1 species